rnacentral:rRNA from 1 species
GUCGUGCGGGAAAAUAGGGGCAACCCUGUGAGUACAGCGGCGCACGGGUGAGUAACACGUAGGUAACCUACCUUCGAGACCGGGAUAACCUGUCGAAAGAUGGGCUAAUACUGGAUAAGACCACGACGGUCCUGGCUGUCGGGGUAAAAAGUGGCCUCUGUUUACAAGCUACCACUCGGAGAUGGGCCUGCGCGCCAUUAGCUAGUUGGUGGGGUAACGGCCUACCAAGGCAAAGAUGGCUAGCUGGUCUGAGAGGAUGGCCAGCCACACUGGGACUGAGACACGGCCCAGACUCCUACGGGAGGCAGCAGUGGGGAAUAUUGCGCAAUGGGCGAAAGCCUGACGCAGCGACGCCGCGUGGGUGAUGAAGGCCUUCGGGUCGUAAAGCCCUGUCGGGAGGGACGAAACCUCGGUAGCCUAAUAUGCUACUGACUUGACGGUACCUCUUAAGGAAGCACCGGCUAACUCCGUGCCAGCAGCCGCGGUAAUACGGAGGGUGCAAGCGUUGUUCGGAAUCACUGGGCGUAAAGCGCGUGUAGGCGGUCAUCUAAGUCUGGUGUGAAAGCCCGGGGCUCACCCCCGGAAGUGCACUGGAGACUGAAUGGCUUGAGUACCGGAGAGGAGGGUGGAAUUCCUGGUGUAGCGGUGAAAUGCGUAGAUAUCA